AAUACUCCGAGAACUGAAAGGCUUUUUGAAGUCUUCGGAUGGAUAGAAGAACCCCUGAUGCCGUCGAGCCAAGAAAAGUUUCUAAGUUUAGCUAAUGUUGCCCGUACCGUAAACCGACACAGGUGGGUGGGAUGAGUAUUCUAAGGCGCGUGGAAGAACUCUCUUUAAGGAACUCUGCAAAAUAGCACCGUAUCUUCGGUAUAAGGUGUGGUUAGCUUUGUAUUAGGAUUUACUCCGAAAGCAAGGAAACUUACAACAAAGAGUCCCUCCCGACUGUUUACCAAAAACACAGCACUCUGCUAACUCGUAAGAGGAUGUAUAGGGUGUGACGCCUGCCCGGUGCUCGAAGGUUAAUUGAUGGGGUUAGCAUUAGCGAAGCUCUUGAUCGAAGCCCGAGUAAACGGCGGCCGUAACUAUAACGGUCCUAAGGUAGCGAAAUUCCUUGUCGGUUAAAUACCGACCUGCAUGAAUGGCGUAACGAGAUGGGAGCUGUCUCAAAGAGGGAUCCAGUGAAAUUGUAGUGGAGGUGAAAAUUCCUCCUACCCGCGGCAAGACGGAAAGACCCCGUGGACCUUUACUACAGCUUGACACUGCUACUUGGAUAAGAAUGUGCAGGAUAGGUGGGAGGCUUUGAGUAUAUGACGCCAGUUGUAUAUGAGCCAUUGUUGAGAUACCACUCUUUCUUAUUUGGGUAGCUAACCAGCUUGAGUUAUCCUCAAGUGGGACAAUGUCUGGUGGGUAGUUUGACUGGGGCGGUCGCCUCCCAAAUAAUAACGGAGGCUUACAAAGGUUGGCUCAGAACGGUUGGAAAUCGUUCGUAGAGUAUAAAGGUAUAAGCCAGCUUAACUGCAAGACAUACAAGUCAAGCAGAGACGAAAGUCGGUCUUAGUGAUCCGGUGGUUCUGUGUGGAAGGGCCAUCGCUCAAAGGAUAAAAGGUACCCCGGGGAUAACAGGCUGAUCUCCCCCAAGAGCUCACAUCGACGGGGAGGUUUGGCACCUCGAUGUCGGCUCAUCGCAUCCUGGGGCUGGAGCAGGUCCCAAGGGUAUGGCUGUUCGCCAUUUAAAGCGGUACGCGAGCUGGGUUCAGAACGUCGUGAGACAGUUCGGUCCCUAUCUGCCGUGGGCGUAAGAAGAUUGAAGAGAUUUGACCCUAGUACGAGAGGACCGGGUUGAACAAACCACUGGUGUAGCUGUUGUUCUGCCAAGAGCAUCGCAGCGUAGCUAAGUUUGGAAAGGAUAAACGCUGAAAGCAUCUAAGCGUGAAGCCAACUCUAAGAUGAAUCUUCUCUAAGCUCUCUAGAAGACUACUAGUUUGAUAGGCUGGGUGUGUAAUGGAUGAAAGUCCUUUAGCUGACCAGUACUAAUAGAGCGUUUGGCUUAUCUUUAAUAAAGCAU
rnacentral:rRNA from 1 species